AAGUGACGGAUAAUUUUAUCAAUUUUCAACCUUUCUGUUCAAUCGUUGUGUAAAAGCUUAAAUAUUUGAAUAAGUGAAACUGGAAUAUUAAUUUUGCAACCAAUUUUAAUUUUUAUUCAUAGCUUUUAUCAUGCUUACAAGGCAUGUAUCAACGGGAUUGCUUGAUGUCUACAGAAAUGUUUCAUUGUUUUGUGAUUUAACUGACAAUAUAUUGUCACACAGAUGUUUCAUUAUUUCAUAACUUAGUAACAAAGAUAAUGGUGUAACCCAUAAAAAACCAUUUUACAUGGCCAAGCACAGAGCUUUUAUUGUAAUCAAAAUAAUUUUCAAGUUAAUUUUGAUUUAAUCAGCUGUUAGAUGUCAAAUUUGAUUACGCUCUUGAAAACUUGGCGAAAGUCAGAGAAGAAAAAAUUGUAUAUAAAAAGAGUCAGAUAACGAUUAAAAUGUUAUCACUUUAUCUUACAGCUUUCAAACCAGUUCAACAUAUUGAAACAAUUCAACUUCAGCGACAAGAUGAAAUUCUUAGUAGUUUUAUCUCUUGUUUUAUACCUCGGUUUCGCUUAUGGAGCCACCAUUGACCGAUCAAGGCGAGCCAUUCAUUGUCCAUCAUUACAAGAUAUCAUAGAUGCUCUGGAUAGUAAUAAUGCUCCUAAAGCGGUCGCAGAUGUCGUUUUUCUUGCCACUUGUCUCGUUUUGCGAUUGGAAUAAACUUGCCCAUUGAAUUUUUGAUUCAACUUUGGCUUUAUCAGAAGCAACUAUUCCUUUCCAACUUUAUCAGGCAAACCAUUAUAUAGCAAAUAAUAUGUGAUUAUUCACAUAUUUCUUGACCUAAAAUAAUAAAUAAUUCAUCAAAAUCACAAA